rnacentral:rRNA from 1 species
CAUCCUCCAAGGCUAAAUACUCCUGACUGACCGAUAGUGAACCAGUACCGUGAGGGAAAGGCGAAAAGAACCCCGGCGAGGGGAGUGAAAAAGAACCUGAAACCGUGUACGUACAAGCAGUGGGAGCACCCUUUGGGGUGUGACUGCGUACCUUUUGUAUAAUGGGUCAGCGACUUAUAUUCUGUAGCAAGGUUAACCGUAUAGGGGAGCCGGAGGGAAACCGAGUCUUAAUUGGGCGUUAAGUUGCAGGGUAUAGACCCGAAACCCGGUGAUCUAGCCAUGGGCAGGUUGAAGGUUGGGUAACACUAACUGGAGGACCGAACCGACUAAUGUUGAAAAAUUAGCGGAUGACCUGUGGCU